rnacentral:rRNA from 1 species
AGCAGUGGGGAAUUUUGAACAAUGGGCGCAAGCCUGAUCCAGCCAUGCCGCGUGUGGGAAGAAGGCCUUCGGGUUGUAAACCACUUUUGUCAGGGAAGAAACGGCUCUUACUAAUAUUAGGAGCUAAUGGCGGUACCUGAAGAAUAAGCACCGGCUAACUACGUGCCAGCAGCCGCGGUAAUACGUAGGGUGCAAGCGUUAAUCGGAAUUACUGGGCGUAAAGCGUGCGCAGGCGGCUUUGCAAGACAGAUGUGAAAUCCCCGGGCUCAACCUGGGAACUGCAUUUGUGACUGCAUGGCUAGAGUACGGUAGAGGGGGAUGGAAUUCCGCGUGUAGCAGUGAAAUGCGUAGAUAUGCGGAGGAACACCGAUGGCGAAAGCAAUCCCCUGGACCUGUACUGACGCUCAUG